AACGAACGCUGGCGGCGUGCUUAACACAUGCAAGUCGAGCGGUAAGGCUCCUUCGGGAGUACACGAGCGGCGAACGGGUGAGUAACACGUGAGCAACCUGCCCUUCUCAUCGGAAUAAGCGUUGGAAACGACGUCUAAUGCCGAAUAUGACAACGGAUCGCAUGAUCUGUUGUGGAAAGCUCCGGCGGAGAAGGAUGGGCUCGCGGCCUAUCAGCUUGGUGGUGGGGUAACGGCCCACCAAGGCGACGACGGGUAGCCGGCCUGAGAGGGUGACCGGCCACACUGGGGCUGGGGCACGGCCCAGACUCCUACGGGAGGCAGCAGUGGGGAAUAUUGGACAAUGGGCGCAAGCCUGAGCCAGCAACGCCGCGUGAGGGAUGACGGCCUUCGGGUUGUAAACCUCUUUCAGCAGGGACGAAGCGAAAGUGACGGUACCUGCAGAAGAAGGACCGGCCAACUACGUGCCAGCAGCCGCGGUAACAC
rnacentral:rRNA from 1 species